rnacentral:rRNA from 1 species
UACGUAGGGUGCGAGCGUUUAAUCGGAAUUACUGGGCGUAAAGCGUGCGCAGGCGGUUCGCUAAGACCGAUGUGAAAUCCCCGGGCUUAACCUGGGAACUGCAUUGGUGACUGGCGGGCUAGAGUAUGGCAGAGGGGGGGUAGAAUUCCACGUGUAGCAGUGAAAUGCGUAGAGAUGUGGGGGAAUACCGAUGGCGAAGGCAGCCAGCCCCUGGGC